GGGAGGUCGCGGCGGUGCGCCGGGUCGCCACGGCGGCCACGGCGGGGGUGGGUUGGCGGGCCGCGGCGGGGGUGAGGGCAUGUCCGGCCACGCGGGGUAGUGGGGAUAGUGGGGCGCGGGGGGUGCGGCGGGAGCGAUGGGGGGAUACGCCGGAUACGCCGGGUACUCCGGCGCCCCCACCGACGACGCGCCUUCGGUGCCCAUUUUCCAAUUUUCGGAUCCGGCCCCGACUCCCGACCCGACCGUCGCGACCACCGACGCCGCGACGUCGCCUUCGUCGUCGCCCGCGGCGACGACGGCCAUGAGGCACAGCGCGAGCGCCGCCGCGCCGCUCCUCAUGCCGUGUGCAACCUACUCUGGCGACCCGCCAAUUCAAUUUCCGAAGGGACCAACAGCUGGGACCAACACC
rnacentral:lncRNA from 1 species